rnacentral:lncRNA from 1 species
GUGGGCGGGGCCUCCUCUUCCACCUGGGCGCGGAUGCUCCCCUGCACCCAGAUGCUCCAGGCAGCCAGACAGUUCCCUGCACGCGCAUGCUCCGGCAGAUACUCCCAAGACGCCAGAUACUGCCCUGCACCCAGAUGCUCCCAGCAACCAGGUACUGCCCUGCGCUCACUCCCAGUCAGAUACUCCCCUGCAGCCGGAUACUCCCAGGCAGCCAGAUACUUCCCUGUAACCAGAUACUCCCCUGCACCCGCAUCCUGCCAGGCAGACAGAUACUCCCCAGCACCCAGCUACUUCUCUGAAUGUAGGUCAGCCCUGGCAUCCAGGUGCUCCCCUGCAUACAGAUGCGCCUCUAAACAGAGGCACUGCCCUUCGUCCAGAUGCUCCUUGUGCACCCAGAUACUCCUCUGCUCCCAGGUGCUUCCCCCAUCCAGACCCUCCUUCGCACUGGGAUCCUUUCCUGUCCAGAUACUCCCUGGCCCCCAGAUGUCCCCCCGUGCGGCGUGUGUCCAGUGGGUGGAACGUGGGUGUUUCUUGCUCACCAUUUCUGGAGCCUGUACCAGGGGUUGGGCCCCGUGGACGUGGGGUCUGGUUGAACACGGGGGAGCAGCUCCUCCCGUGGUGGCCGGGAGUGUCCUCCUGGGGGAUCCGCGGUCACUGGAACGGGUCCCUUCCCUGCGGUGACAGCCGACUUUUCCCUGAUGCCUGGGGGGCAGCAGCUCCUCACCUUGGGCCGCUGCCCACGCCCAGGCCCCCAGGGACCAGCUCCCGUGGAGUCCAGCUGCAGCCGGUCAUGACGCCUCGGCUUCCGACUUCUCCCGCCAGAACACGAGCCUGUCCACUCGGGGUGCCCACGGGCCCGGGGGAGUGAACGAGAGCCCUGGUUGGCCGGCCAGAGAAGGCAGCCCCGUGGGGAGGGCCUGCCUGUCCCCCCGGCAGGGCCUCAGCAGCCGCUGUGUGCCGGGCAGCUCCCCGCCCGCAGCCCUGGUGGCCGGUCCGACACGCGUGUGGACAGCGUGCUGUCCCCUGAUGUGGGGGAGCGCAGGUGGGGCCGUCCUCCUGGGUCCUAGGCCUUUGCUCAGGAACCGCCUGCAUUUGGGGGUGCGCACGGCCGGUCCCCAAGGGUAAGGGCUCUGCCCCUCCCCCACGGGCACCGCUUCCCCCGGGACGGGCCUAGGAGCCCCUUCCUCUGGGGCGGGGGAGCAGUCACGUGGCCCAGCCUUAGGGCAUUUGAACCUUCCUGUCCGUCUUUGCCACGACCACUCGGAUUCAUGACCCGUCUGUCCUGAUCGACCUCUGCACCCAGGUACUCCCCUGCACCCAGAUACUCCCCUGCACCCAAGUACUCCCCUGCACCCAGAUGCUCCCCUGCACCUAGAUGCUCCCUUCACCCAGAUGCUUCCCUGAACCCAGAUGCUCCUCUGUACUCAGAUACUCUCCUGCAUCUAGAUGCUGAUGCUCCCUACACCCAGAUGCUCCCCUGCACCCAGAUGCUCCCUUGCACCCAGGUACUCCCCUGCACCCAGAUACUCACCUAUGCCCAGAUGCUCCCUUGCACCCAGAUGCUCCCCUGCACCCAGAUACUCCCCUGCACCCAGAUGCUCCCUGCACCCAGAUGCUCCCCUGCACCUAGAUGCUCCCUUCACCCAGAUGCUUCCCUGAACCCAGAUGCUCCUCUGUACUCAGAUACUCUCCUGCAUCUAGAUGCUGAUGCUCCCUACACCCAGAUGCUCCCUGCACCCAGAUGCUCCCCUGCACCUACAUGUUCCCUGCACCCAGAUGCUUCCCUGAACACAGAUACUCCCCUGAACCCAGAUACUACUCUGCAUCCAGAUACUCCCCUGCAUUCUGAUAAUCCCCUGCACCCAGAUACUCCUGUAUCCAGUUACUCCCCUGAAUCCAGAUACUCCCCUGCACCCAGAUACUCCUCUGCACACAGAUACUUCCCAGUAGCCAGAUGCUCCUCUUCACCCAGAUAACUCUUCAGCACCCAGAUGCUCCCUAACAGGAAGAACUUGUCAUGAAGUGGCAAGUGUCAUAAGAUGAACACGGUGGACUACACCUAUCAGGUCACCUGGUAGACCAGCAGGAAGGCAGGGGCAUCUGUGGCCAGGAUCCUGUGGCUGUCAGGAGCCACGCCCCCCCAACUCCCUGUGUCACAGGAGAGGUACCUGCCGCAUAUCGCCAGCCCCGGAGGCCAAUCACACUUCCAGGUUCAAAAGGCCACUUCUACCGAGUGUGUUCCCCUUUUGUUCCAAGGAAAAGGGUCGUAUUUAAUGGAUCACCAUAAUGUACAUAAUAUCUGACUUCUUAUUGGAAACGUCCCCCUUUUCUAAGAUUCUCUGUGCUUUAUUCUGCAAAUAUUCACAGAACUUUUUCUACAUACCAGAGGCUGUUGGUGAGCAAAGAGACGGUCCCUGUCAUUCUUUCCAACAGUCAGAACUUUGGUUGCAAUGACAUUAAGCAGUCGCCAAGAAUGUCCCACUGAGCACCUACGACCGUGAAUGCCUCUGGAAGUACGUUAUGGGGACCCCGUUUCAGUGGGCACGUUGUCAUGAAUGUCUGGCUUUGUGAGGCUAAAAGGGUUCUGCAGCCUGUUCAUGCCCAUUGCCAAAUCGUUCCACAGACACGCAGCAGAUUUGCAAUACCUCAAAUGAUUUCCUGGCAGAUCCGAGAACUUUCGAAUGAAUUCCACCAGGGCUUUGGUGGAAAACAAGAUCAAAUGAACUGGCUCAUAUUCUCACAUGUGUCUUAGGAAGGAGGUUGGGUGUACAAAAAGCAAUGUGCAAACCGUUCCUGGAAACUGAAUAAGCCCUUUGUUCAUUUGUGUAUGCCAUCAGUUUCUUUUCUUAUUGAUUUGGAGGAACUCUUUACAUAUUAAAGAGCACCCUUGGGUUGCAACAUGGAUUAGCAGACA